rnacentral:rRNA from 1 species
UACGUAGGGGGCAAGCGUUAUCCGGAUUUACUGGGUGUAAAGGGAGCGUAGACGGCUAGACAAGUCUGAAGUGAAAAUCCAGCGCUUAACGUUGGAAGUGCUUUGGAAACUGCCGGGCUAGAGUGCAGGAGGGGCAGGCGGAAUUCCUAGUGUAGCGGUGAAAUGCGUAGAUAUUAGGAGGAACACCAGUGGCGAAGGCGGCCUGCUGGACUGCAACUGACGUUGAGGCUCGAAGGCGUGGGGAGCUAACAGG